GAUGAACGCUGGCGGCGUGCCUAAUCCAUGCAAGUCGAGCGAACAGACGAGGAGCUUGCUCCUCUGACGUUAGCGGCGGACGGGUGAGUAACACGUGGAUAACCUACCUAUAAGACUGGGAUAACUUCGGGAAACCGGAGCUAAUACCGGAUAAUAUAUUGAACCGCAUGGUUCAAUAGUGAAAGACGGUUUUGCUGUCACUUAUAGAUGGAUCCGCGCCGCAUUAGCUAGUUGGUAAGGUAACGGCUUACCAAGGCAACGAUGCGUAGCCGACCUGAGAGGGUGAUCGGCCACACUGGAACUGAGACACGGUCCAGACUCCUACGGGAGGCAGCAGUAGGGAAUCUUCCGCAAUGGGCGAAAGCUUGACGGAGCAACGCCGCGUGAGUGAUGAAGGUCUUCGGAUCGUAAAACUCUGUUAUUAGGGAAGAACAAAUGUGUAAGUAACUAUGCACGUCUUGACGGUACCUAAUCAGAAAGCCACGGCUAACUACGUG
rnacentral:rRNA from 1 species